rnacentral:rRNA from 1 species
UACGUAGGGUGCGAGCGUUGUCCGGAAUUAUUGGGCGUAAAGGGCUCGUAGGCGGUCUGUUGCGUCGGUAGUGAAAACUCAGGGCUUAACCCUGAGCCUGCUUCCGAUACGGGCAGACUAGAGGUAUGCAGGGGAGAACGGAAUUCCUGGUGUAGCGGUGAAAUGCGCAGAUAUCAGGAGGAACACCGGUGGCGAAGGCGGUUCUCUGGGCAUUACCUGACGCUGAGGCGCGAAAGCGUGGGGAGCAAACAGG